GACGAACGCUGGCGGCGUGCUUAACACAUGCAAGUCGAACGGAAAGGCCCCUUCGGGGGUACUCGAGUGGCGAACGGGUGUGUAACACGUGAGUAACCUGCCCUUGACUUCGGGAUAACUUCAGGAAACUGGGGCUAAUACCGGAUAGGAAUCCUUGCUGCAUGGUGGGGGUUGGAAAGCUUCGGCGGUUUUGGAUGGACUCGCGGCUUAUCAGCUUGUUGGUGGGGUAGUGGCUUACCAAGGCUUUGACGGGUAGCCGGCCUGAGAGGGCGACCGGCCACAUUGGGACUGAGAUACGGCCCAGACUCCUACGGGAGGCAGCAGUGGGGAAUAUUGCACAAUGGGCGGAAGCCUGAUGCAGCAACGCCGCGUGCGGGAUGACGGCCUUCGGGUUGUAAACCGCUUUCAGCAGGGGCGAAGCUUGUGGUGACGGUACCUGCAGAAGAAGCACCGGCUAACUACGUG
rnacentral:rRNA from 1 species